GAGACUCUGUGCGCGUGCAUAUCAAUAAGCGGAGGAAAAGAAACUAACAAGGAUUCCCUUAGUAACGGCGAGUGAAGCGGGAAGAGCUCAAAUUUGAAAUCUUCAAGGUUCUACCUUGACGAAUUGUAGUUUAUAGAAGUGUUUUCUGUUAGUGGAGUGGCAAAAGUUCUUUGGAAUAGGACAUCAUAGAGGGUGAGAAUCCCGUAUUUGGUCAUUCCUCCUAGCGUUGUGAUACACUUUCAACGAGUCGGAUUGUUUGGGAAUGCAGUCCAAAAUGGGUGGUAAAUUUCAUCUAAAGCUAAAUAUUGGCGAGAGACCGAUAGCGAACAAGUACCGUGAGGGAAAGAUGAAGAGAACUUUGAAAAGAGAGUUAAACAGUACGUGAAAUUGUCAAAAGGGAAGCGUUUGACACCAGUGUUGUUUUUCCGAAAAUCAAUUACGAAUGUUUUAUUUUUGAGGAGUUAUGACUUCAUCGGCUUGCUUCUUUCUUUACGAAACUUUCUUAAUGCACUUUUCGGUUAACAAGUCAACAUCAAUUUCUUUUGUUGUAAAAGGGUAUGAGGAAGGUGGCUUUCUUUUCGGAGAAAGUGUUUAUAGCCUUGUAGCCUCUGCAAUCGGAGAGAUUGAGGUCUGCAGCGUAGAUCCUUCGGGGUUAGAUACAGUUUGUGCUAAGUUAUAGCUUUUCAUAGACAACUUGUUGACUAUGUUAGUCUUGUAGCUUACUCGCUGAUGCUAUUUUACCUACGCUUAGGAUGUUGACAGCAGUAUAGACUGU
rnacentral:rRNA from 1 species